GUCAACGGCCAUACCACGUUGAAACACCGGUUCUCGUCCGAUCACCGAAGUUACAGCGUCGGGCGUAGUUAGUACUUGAUGGGAGACGCUUGGGAACACUGCGUGCUGUUGACU
rnacentral:rRNA from 1 species